UACGUAGGGUGCGAGCGUUAAUCGGAAUUACUGGGCGUAAAGCGUGCGCAGGCGGUUUUAUAAGUCAGAUGUGAAAGCCCCGGGCUUAACCUGGGAAUGGCAUUUGGGACUGCAAGGCUUGAGUGCGGCAGAGGAGACUGGAAUUCCUGGUGUAGCAGUGAAAUGCGUAGAUAUCAGGAGGAAUACCGAUGGCGAAGGCAGGUCUCUGGGCUGACACUGACGCUCAUGCACGAAAGCGUGGGGAGCAAACAGG
rnacentral:rRNA from 1 species